rnacentral:rRNA from 1 species
UACGUAGGGUGCAAGCGUUAAUCGGAAUCACUGGGCGUAAAGCGUGCGUAGGUGGAUGUUUAAGUGUGAUGUUAAAUCGUGUGGCUCAACCAUAUCGAUGCAUCGCAUACUGGACGUCUAGAGGACAGCAGAGGCAAGUGGAAUUUGUAGUGUAGCAGUGAAAUGCGUAGAUAUUACAAGGAACACCAAUGGCGAAGGCAGCUUGCUGGGCUACUCCUGACACUGAGGUACGAAAGCGUGGGGAGCGAACAGG